UUUGUGACCCCUGAUCUCAAUCAGUUAGUAGUGAUGCUUCACUCACUUUACCCAUCGCUGCUUUAGAGCUAAUUACCUUAAUGCUUGUUAUUCAGUCAGAUUCUCCGGUUGAGAAAAUCACCGCCACCAUGAAAUGACUGAGGUAUGGAGUGUGGUUUCAUUGAUAACUUGGGAGCUCCCUAGUUCUACAAUCUUGCCUGAAGUGGAUCGAUACUAAAGAAUGGCUGUGCCUCGAUGGCAUGUAAUCAUCUUGUUGGCUGCUUUGACACUGAUCCUCCAUUAUAAGCCAAUGAAGCAUGCUGGACAGACGUUACAUGGCGACUGUUCUCACUGCUGUCUGAGGUGAUGCUUUAAGUCUCAUCAGAGCUGACAAGAUUAGAGAACUGCUAUCCCCAUGGGUGCCUAUCACUCUUCUGAACUCUCCAGGUUCAUUCCUCCAGUCAUUCUCCAUGGAGCCUAAGUCCAGUGCUGCUCCAGCAAAAUAUAGAGCCCCUAACCUCACCUGAGGGAACAAGACCAAAGACACAGUAGUCUCAGUGUUUGGACCUCUGAGAUUAUCGCCUACUCUGACCCUUCUCACACCAUGUCUGCCUGACCCCAGGAGUGCCUCCAACUUCUUCCAAACCUUUUAACCAUACAUAACCACCCAUGUCCCUUCCAUUCAAUCUGGCUCUCCUCCUACAGGGCUCCAUGCUGAAAAUGCCACAGGACCAAGGAUAGAGCCUUGUGGGACACCGUCUGGACCUGUCUGAGCACUGUCACGGCUGUUUGCUAGCUCCCUGCAGGCAUGUUGGUGCUUGGAUGAAUGAGUCCUGUCACAUCUCCGGCUGAGGGUUCGCACAGAAGCACAGAAAGAGCAGCCUGAGGUGUCACCUCUAAUAAAACAUUUAUAUCCACGGGGAAAAGCAUGUCCAGUGCCGGCGACCAGAGCAAACUCAGGAUUGGCAGAGGGAGGUCCUUUUGAAGGGUGCACAUAAGUGGUACGCAGGUGCGCAUGCGUGGUAAAAAUAAACGAUGCGCACCAGAAAACAUGGAGGGAAGCGCUUUUGAUUACGAACGUUUUUGAGGACCGGUUCACAGGGACACGUUUACUUACUGGAGUAGGAUUUUUCUUCAUCUCUGCUCACCCUUGCCACCUUCACCAAGACUCAGAGAGGAAACCAUAAGACUGGCUGCUCAUAGGCAUAACAAGAGCAGAGGUGAUGCCUUCAAAGGUGAGAACUGCCCUUCUUCUCUCAUCCCUGAUGUUCUGGGGGCAUCAUCACCUUAUUAGAUUGGUGAGACCUGGAAAAGGGGGUUGGUGCCCCAGAUUGAAGAGGAUUAGGGGAGCUGGUGAAAAUCGCAGCUCCAUGUGGAGAGACCUGCUCUGAGGAACAGGCGGGGGCAGAUGGGAGGUGAUCACAGGAAAUCACAGCACCUCUGACACUGUUUGUGGUCCUGGAGUGUUAGUUCUCACCCAUCAUUGCCUUUGGUGCCACGGCCCACACUGGGGGAAGUUGUUUUAGCACAUUCAUAAAAAGCGCCAUUUAGCAUUGUCACAACAACAUUUAAAGCAGUGCUACUGAAAAGGCACACACGCACUACAAAGCCAGAUGAGGGUCUUUGCGCAAGUGUACGUAUUACUCUCAAGUAACUGUGAAUGAUCUCUCUGGGUACAAGUUAUGGUGUUGAUUACUUACAUGACAGGAACAAUGAUUAAAACUGGGAGAUGAUAAUGGUGUGGCAUUCAUGCAUUGACAACUUUGACUCUAUGUUCCUUUCCAAAGGUUGAUGUAUGGCAUCAUUAGGAUAACCUCAGGCCCUUAAAGACACUAAUCUUCUUCAUCUUGUCCUUCACACUUUCUUGUUUUGACAUUUAGAAAUAUGUGUGUGUGCACAGUACCUGUGGUGUGUGUAUUGGCGAUAGCGGUACUCAUAGCACCGUGCAGUGUUUUAGCUGUUUAUUUGCUCACAUAUUAUGCAUUUUAAAAGAUAUUCAAAUAGGAUUAAGAUAAGAUGCAUUUAUAUAACCACAUAGUGCUUGAUCAUUGCUCGACGCAAUGAUGCUAUGGUGUUGUGGUUGGUUGCCCGGCUGUUGCUAUGCAGUUGUUAGAUGUUCAGAAUGAUUUAAGCGUAUGUGGUUGCUAGUAUGUUCAGAAUGGUUACUAGGUGGGCUGCUAGGGUGUUCUAGGUUGUUGCUGGGUGAUCAGGCCUAACCCAGAAGAGAUCCUAACACUGCUGAAAAAAAAAAAUGUUUAACUGGGGCCUAUACCAUGAAGCUGGUUUAGGUGGAUAGCUAGGUAUGUUUCAGUUUAGUUUGUGCCAACCCUGGGUUUUAGGCACCAUGAAAGUGGUUUGGUUUUUUAGUAACUUACGCUCCACUGCUAACAUUCUCUGAGACAGGUUAUGUUCUGUUUAAGAGAUCUCAAACUGAAAUUGGACCAAUUAGCUGUGAGCAAAGUGACACACCUCUGGCACAACAAAGUCACUCCCCCAUUUUUUUUCUUACUCCAAAUUAAAAGUCACUACAUAGUAACAGAUUUGUAAAGACAAAAUCCUAUGGCUUUUAGAGAUGAUUAUUUAUUAUAAUUAUUUUAUAUGAUUUAUAUUAUAUAUUUAUA